GAGCUUUGAAGCCACCCCGGUCAAAGGAUGCUGAGUCCGGAGCGCCUAGCCCUACCGGACUACGAGUAUCUGGGCAUGCUUGAAACAAUAACACUUUUGAAUGUAAGAUAUAUGAAAGGCCACACGUCUUCGGCUUUGCUUGUCAAAUGGAGAGGCUGCCAGAACCGGUCGGCUCCAUGGUUCUCAUGCCCCAAAGUCCUGCAAAUUGACACCUCAGCGACAUGUCCUCACCUACAUGGAGGAUGCAGUGUGCCAGCUGCUAGAAAACAGGGAAGAUAUUAGCCAAUAUGGAAUUGCCAGGUUCUUCACUGAAUAUUUUAACAGUGUAUGCCAGGGAACACACAUUCUCUUUCGAGAAUUCAGCUUCGUCCAAGCCACCCCCCACAAUAGGGUAUCAUUUUUACGGGCCUUCUGGAGAUGCUUCCGAACUGUGGGCAAAAAUGGCGGGUCUCACUCUUGCCUAGGCUGGAGUAAAGUGGUGCUAUCUCAGCUCACUGUAACCUCUGCCUCCUGAGUUCAUGCGAUUCUUGUGCUUCAGCCUCCUGAGUAGCUGGGA
rnacentral:lncRNA from 1 species